AUCUUGAAGAUAUAUUUGGUGUGGGUCCCAGGCAGUGCUCGCAUAUUCGAGGACAGGUCGUAUGAGUCCUUUAUAUGCCUGGAGUUUAACUUCAAGUGGACAUGAUUGAAGAUUUCUUUUCAAUAAUCCUAAUGUCCUAUUUUUUCAUCUAAUUCAAU